rnacentral:rRNA from 1 species
GAUGAACGCUGGCGGCGUGCCUAAUACAUGCAAGUCGAGCGAACAGAUGAGGAGCUUGCUCCUCUGACGUUAGCGGCGGACGGGUGAGUAACACGUGGAUAACCUACCUAUAAGACUGGGAUAACUUCGGGAAACCGGAGCUAAUACCGGAUAAUAUAUUGAACCGCAUGGUUCAAUAGUGAAAGACGGUUUUGCUGUCACUUAUAGAUGGAUCCGCGCCGCAUUAGCUAGUUGGUAAGGUAACGGCUUACCAAGGCAACGAUGCGUAGCCGACCUGAGAGGGUGAUCGGCCACACUGGAACUGAGACACGGUCCAGACUCCUACGGGAGGCAGCAGUAGGGAAUCUUCCGCAAAGGGCGAAAGCCUGACGGAGCAACGCCGCGUGAGUGAUGAAGGUCUUCGGAUCGUAAAACUCUGUUAUUAGGGAAGAACAAAUGUGUAAGUAACUAUGCACGUCUUGACGGUGCCUAAUCAGAAAGCCACGGCUAACUACGUG